GAUGAACGCUAGCGGCAGGCUUAACACAUGCAAGUCGAGGGGUAGGUUACUUCGGUAACUGAGACCGGCGCACGGGUGCGUAACGCGUAUACAAUCUACCUUUUACAGAGGGAUAGCCCAGAGAAAUUUGGAUUAAUACCUCAUAGUAUUUUCGGAUCGCAUGAUUUGAUUAUUAAAGUUCCAACGGUAAAAGAUGAGUAUGCGUCCCAUUAGCUAGAUGGUAAGGUAACGGCUUACCAUGGCAACGAUGGGUAGGGGUCCUGAGAGGGAGAUCUCCCACACUGGUACUGAGACACGGACCAGACUCCGUAC
rnacentral:rRNA from 1 species